rnacentral:rRNA from 1 species
AACUAAAGUAGUGCCGAGAGUCGCGGUAACAUUAAGUGUCAAGGAGUUAUCAGGAGUGAGUGGGCGUAAGGCGAGCGAAGACGGUUAUUUAAGUCGGAAGUGAAAGCCCUCGUCUCAAGUUGGGAAUUGCGUUGGAAACUGGAUGACGUGAGUGCAGUAGAGGAAAGUGGAACUCCAUGUGUAGCGGUGAAAUGCGUAGAUAUAUGGAAGAAUACCAGUGGCGAAGGCGGAUUUCUGGACUGUAACUGACGUUGAGGCUCGAAAGUGUGGGUAGCAAACAGGAUUAGAUACCCUGGUAGUC